GACGGAAUGGGCAGCACACAUCCACUGCGGGGAAUGAGACUUUUGAUUUGACGGGCUAUCGGUUUUUCACCUAUACUGUUCAACUCCUGUUCAAUUAUUCAAAUAAAUUAUUCUGAGUGAAAUCCGAAGUCUGGUCCUUGUCAAGUGUGGACACCUCGCAGUUAGAAGAACACUUGACAGCCAUGCUUCGCCAUGACACAGGAAUUUGUUGUAA